CCCCCCCCUCCCUUUCUCUUUCCCUCCUCCUCUCUUCCCUCUCCUCCUCUCUCUCCUUUCUCUACACCUCCUCUUGUCUGAUCGCUGCUUGGGAGGAGCUCCGACCGCUGAGAUCCGGGGAUUGAUGGCGGAAGCCCGCCCAUGGGCUACGAUGGCGCCGGGAUCCAGACGCGCGGCUACAGGGCCACUGCCGCGUCCGUGACGGAGGCGUCGUCGUCCUUGCUCGCCCCUGCCUUUGAUGAAGUGGGCUACAGAAGAAGAAUGUUGCAAUGAGAAUGGCUCCUUAUGAUGCGUUUCUGUUCAUGUAGCGAUGUCAAAUUUCGAACGUUGGAUGUUUCAAAAUUUCUUUGUCAGGCAACUGCCUGAAUUGAAAUUGCUAGUUCAUUCAAGCAGUGAAUCCUGUAUAAUUGUGACCAAUUGGUGUUUCGUUGUGGAAAAUGGCAACUGUACUUUAUCUAGACAUUGUGGCAGAUGAACAUGAGAGGAAGUGAAUCCAUGGAAUCUGGAUCCUAUCCGCAGCGCCAGGGAGAGCCAGACUGUGCUUAUUACCUCAGAACGGGUCACUGUAGAUAUGGGGUGACUUGCAGAUACAAUCAUCCUCCUAAUAGAAAGCUGGCUAUUGCUGCUGCGAGACUUAAGGGUGGAUAUCCUGAAAUAGUAGGUCAACCUGAGUGUCAGUACUAUCUUAAGACUGGAACAUGCAAAUUUGGAGCUACAUGCAAAUUUCAUCACCCCAAAGAUAAGGCUGGAAUUCUUGGGAGAGCUGAACUAAAUAUUUUGGGAUAUCCAAUUCGUCCGAACGAGGAGGAGUGUGCAUAUUAUUUAAGAACUGGACAAUGUAAAUUUGGGAACACCUGUAAAUUUCAUCAUCCACAGCCUUCUAAUGUGAUGGUUUCAUUACGCGGUUCUCCUUUUUAUCCUUCUGUACAUUCACCCACCUCUCCCAGUCAAUCUUAUGCUGAUGGAUUGACAAGCUGGUCGUCAUCAAGAACCUCUUUCAUUCCAAGCCCUCGAUGGCAAGGUCCUUCAAGCUGUGCUCAAGUGGUUCUUCCUCAAGGGUUGGUUCAAGUUCCCAGCUGGAAUGCAUAUCCUGGACCAUUGGGGUCUGUUUCAUCUUCUGAAAGCCAGCAACAAGCACCAGGGACUGUUCAAAUACAUGGAUCUUCUCGCCCAAGUGAAACAAGUGCAGGAGCUCAAGGGAUAGUCUCAUCGUAUCGAUCCAGUUCUAUUACUAUGGGCCAGCAUGCAUUGCAGAAGGAUAAUGUGUUUCCUGAGAGGCUUGAUCAACCUGAAUGUCAAUUUUACAUGAAGACUGGAGACUGUAAGUUUGGUGCAGCCUGCAAGUUCCAUCAUCCUAAGGAGAGAUUGAUCACUGCUCCUAACUGUUUGCUGAGUCCUUCAGGCCUUCCACUACGCCCAGGAGAACCUUUGUGUGUUUUUUAUUCUCGUUAUGGUAUCUGCAAAUUUGGUCCAAAUUGCAAAUUUGAUCAUCCUGUGGUAACUUCCAUGGGAAUCUUCGCAUACAGUCUUUCAACAUCUGCAUCAGCUGAUAUCCCCAUAGUUCGGCAUUUAUUGGCAUCUUCAUCAGUACCUCCUGCACUUACAUUGUCUUCAGAAGGUCCUGUUGAAGCUGGGACAGGAAAACCCAGAAGAGUUUUAAUGUCAGAGCCUCGGCAAAUGUCUUCUGGUGAUGAACAUGUUGAGGCAGAGGGAUCACACACCACUUCAAGCAUUGGGCAAGUUUCUUCUUUUUCCUAAACCCUUGAAGUAAAAGAAUCCCUGUAUAUUGAGUUCCCAGUGCUAGAGAUGUACAGUUUUUUCACGAAGAGAUGAAGCUGUUCAUCUGAAGAUAUGUUUACUCGACAGCCAUCUCAUUCACAUUAAAUUCUGUAUAUGUUGCACUACCAGUUCUUACUGUAUAAAUUGUUGAAGUCGCUAAUCCAGCAAUUACCUUAGCACGUUGGUCAUCAUGUAGCAGUCUACGUGUCAUGUUUGCACUCAGGGUCUGGGGAGGAUCAGAUAUUCCAAACUUCUGUUUGCUUUGCAUGCUUCUGUUCAACAAAGUUUUGAUGUUCCAAAAUUCGUAGGAUCAUGGAAAUCCACAGAUUUGACAGUUCAAAAGAAUAUCCUGUUGCAGCUGAAUCCCUGAUAUGCAUUAUUGAAUUUCACAAGGUUUGCUAGUUAGCAAGUAAUUAAGUUUUGUACAUGACUCUCACAUUCACGAGUUUGGACUUUAUUCAGUGUAUUUUAUUAAAAGGUCGCUUAGGUCCAAGUUAGAUGUUGAAUACGACCAUAAUCAUCCGGCCUCAUCUCAGCUAUUUGGGUCAGCAGAUGUUGAAUGAAAAGUAAGUUUUUUGGUUAAUACAAAAUAAGUUUAAAUUAGCUUUUUAUAAGCUGUCCCAAAAGCGGUUACUUUGUCAAUUAUUAGAAAGUGUGUACAUUUCUUCAGUGAUUAUCUGAUGUAAUCCUAUACUUAUAACUGUUGACUAGCAAGCGAACCUUAUUUGAGGUCGCCUAUGUAUUGGAAAUAGAGAAUGAAAGGAAUAGGAAUAUUGUUUGGUGUA